rnacentral:rRNA from 1 species
GUAGGUGGCAAGCGUUGUCCGGAAUUAUUGGGGCGUAAAGCGCGCGCAGGCGGGGCCUUUAAGUCUGAUGUGAAAGCCCACGGGCUCAACCGUGGAGGGUCAUUGGAAACUGGGGGGACUUGAGUACAGAAGAGGAAAGCGGAAUUCCAAGUGUAGCGGUGAAAUGCGUAGAGAUUUGGAGGAACACCAGUGGCGAAGGCGGCUUUCUGGUCUGUAACUGACGCUGAGGCGCGAAAGCGUGGGGAGCAAACAGGAUUAGAUACCCUGGUAGUCCACGCCGUAAACGAUGAGUGCUAAGUGUUACGGGGGGUUUCCGCCCCUUAGUGCUGCAGCUAACGCAUUAAGCACUCCGCCUGGGGAGUACGGCCGCAAAGGCUG